rnacentral:misc_RNA from 1 species
GGAGCAAUAACUAACAAAACUAUAACAGAUAUUUACAGAACUGAAACCUACAAAAACAGUAAGGUAGAAAAUGAAGAAACAAAAAAACAACUGAAAGAAUCAUCUGCUUCUAUGUACUCUAUACUUUCUAUAUCAUUUUCUAACGUACUUCAAUUUACAAUCUCAGUGGCUUUGUUUAGGCAUAUUUUCUCUAACAAAAUCAUUUUUCUCCUCUUACCUAAUCUUCAUCACCUGUCAUUUAUUCCGUAAGUCAUUCACAUCCUUCGGAUGGUUUGAUUGAAUGCAAUUGUCUGAAGAGUACAGCUUCAAGGAGAUCAGAAAUGAUCUCAAGGGAAAAGCAUAUCUCCGUUGUUAACCCAAUGCACAAACUUCUCCGAAAAUUCAGCAAUAUGUUUACUACUUCCUUUGGCAUCAAAGUUGAUAUCUUUACUAGUCUGCUCCUGACGCUUCAAGCUUGAAGACUCAAUUACUGAAGAGCUUGUUUCAGCUUUAAAUUCAACUGUUACACAGUCAGAUGAGAGGACACAACAUGGUGAACCUAUGAUUGCAGAUCUCUCGAAUGCUUCAUCUUCACAUGAAUUUCCAGACGAAGAGAGCCACUCAACAUCUAGGAAAUUUGAAAAAUCAAUUGAAUCAACACGAUCAUGCAAUCUUACACUUCCACUGCCGAGACGCUGCUCUAAUUGCAUAUCUA